rnacentral:rRNA from 1 species
CGUACUUUUUGUAGAACGGGCCAACGAGUUACGUUAAGUAGCAAGGUUAAGCACUUAAGGUGUGGAGCCGUAGCGAAAGCGAGUUUUAACUGAGCGUUCAGUUACUUGACGUAGACCCGAAACCGGGCGACCUACCCAUGAGCAGGAUGAAGCGAAAGUAAAAUUUCGUGGAGGUCCGAACCCACGAGCGGUGAAAAGCUCGGGGAUGACUUGUGGGUAGCGGUGAAAUUCCAAUCGAGCCCGGAGAUAGCUGGUUCUCCCCGAAAUAGCUUUAGGGCUAGCCUCAAGGUGAGAGAUACGGAGGUAGAGCACUGAAUGUCCUAGGGGGUAUUGCACCUACCGAAGACUAUCAAACUCCGAAUGCCGUCAUCUUAUACUUGGGAGUCAGACUGUGGGUGAUAAGAUUCAUAGUCGAAAGGGCAACAGCCCAGAUCGUCAGCUAAGGUCCCUAAAUGUAAGUUAAGUGGUAAAGGAUGUGGGAUUGCACAGACAACCAGGAUGUUGGCUUAGAAGCAGCCACUCAUUCAAAGAGUGCGUAAUAGCUCACUGGUCGAGUGAUCCUGCGCCGAAGAUUUCCGGGGCUAAAACUUACUACCGAAGCUACGGCAUCAGUAAUGAUGGGUAGGGGAGCUUCCCAUACGGGUUGAAGCAUGACCGUAAGGACAUGUGGACAGUAUGGGAGUGAGAAUGUUGGCAUGAGUAGCGAGAUGUGGGUGAGAAUCCCACAGGCCGUAAACCCAAGGUUUCCAGGGGAAGGUUCGUCCGCCCUGGGUUAGUCGGGACCUAAGCUGAGGCCGAAAGGCGUAGGUGAUGGACAACAGGUUGAUAUUCCUGUACUACCGAUAACCGUUUGAGAGAAGGGAUGACACAGUAGGAUAAGCUAAGCACACUGUUGGUUAUGUGUGCCCAAGCAUUGAGGCAGUCAAAGUAGGCAAAUCCGCUUUGAUAAUGCUGGGAUGUGAUGGGGAGCGAAAUUUAGUAGCGAAGUAGCUGAUUUCACACUGUCAGGAAAAGUCUCUAUCGAGGUUAAAGGUACCCGUACCGCAAACCGACACAGGUGGGUGAGGAGAGUAUCCUAAGGCCAGCGAGAGAACUGUUGUUAAGGAACUCGGCAAAAUGACCCCGUAACUUAGGGAUAAGGGGUGCCACCAUCAGGUGGCCGCAGAGAAUAGGCCCAAGCGACUGUUUACCAAAAACAUAGGUUUCUGCUAAGUCGCAAGACGAUGUAUAGGAGCUGACGCCUGCCCGGUGCUGGAAGGUUAAGGGGAUCUGUUAGAGCAAUCGAAGCAGUGAACUUAAGCCCCAGUAAACGGCGGCCGUAACUAUAACGGUCCUAAGGUAGCGAAAUUCCUUGUCGGGUAAGUUCCGACCCGCACGAAAGGCGUAACGAUUUGGGCACUGUCUCAACAACAGACUCGGUGAAAUUGUAAUUCCGGUGAAGAUGCCGGAUACCUGCGACAGGACGGAAAGACCCCAGGGGCUUUACUGUAGCUUGACAUUGGGUCUUGGUACUACAUGUACAGGAUAGGUGGGAGGCUUUGAAACCAGGACGCCAGUUUUGGCGGAGCCAUCCUUGGGAUACCACCCUUGUAGUACUGGGACUCUAACCAUAGGCCAUGAAUCUGGUCUUGGGACACUGUCAGGUGGGCAGUUUGACUGGGGCGGUCGCCUCCCAAAAGGUAACGGAGGCGCUCAAAGGUUCUCUCAGUACGGUCGGAAAUCGUACGUAGAG